AGAGACAGGAUUCUCCAUGAGGUCCUGAACUCUUGGGCUCAAGCAAUCCACCUGCCUCAGCUUCCCAAAGUGCUGAAAUUACAGGUUCCAACACCACAAGCAUACGCUUAUUAAGGAGCCUUUAUUAGACAGCGUAUUCUCACCUAACAGGCCAGAUCAUGGCAAAAAGCAAGACAAGCAACCCCAGACAAAGAAUAUUGCCAAUGCCAGUGCUGACUCAAAGAACACGCAACAGAUGAAUGGUUUCGUGACUGGUGCAGCUACUUCCUUCAUCCCCAAGGACAGAACGGCCUCUUCCCUGUGUGGCUGCACUGGAAGGAGAAGACAAUCUGUUGCUAAAUACCUCAGAAUAAGGCCACACAUUAAUGUUCCCUCUUUCACAUACUACAAAUAAUUCAGAGACUUUUCCUAUUUUCUUGUUUCAGAUACAACUAGAGACAAACAAAAACACAGAGGAAAUGCUGCUGGAUACUAUUAAAGUGAGCAUCGUAAACAUUAUUUCAAGAGGUUUCCGAAAAGGAUCUCUAAAAUUAUCAGAGAAUUCACAAUUCAAGAGUACCUAACGAAGAAGAAGGGAAAUUAAUCCUUCAUAUGGCUCAAGUGGCUGCUUGACACCUUAUUAAGAAAACGAUGGAACAGACAUGUCAUCAGUGGGUCAGCACACCUGUGACAGGCAAUACAAGCCAUCACCUUAUCUGCCCUAGAUUUGUGGAAGAACCUCCAGCUCUCAUUAUCCUCUCACUCCACUGGAAAAAAACACACAACUCCCCAAAAUCCCCAAACAAAACAAAACCCCAG
rnacentral:lncRNA from 1 species